rnacentral:rRNA from 1 species
UACAGAGGGUGCAAGCGUUGUUCGGAAUUAUUGGGCGUAAAGGGCGCGUAGGCGGUGCGGUAAGUCUGCGGUGGAAAUCUCCCGGCUCAACUGGGAGGCUGCCGUGGAAACUGCCGGGCUAGAGUCCGGAAGAGGCGAGUGGAAUUCCGUGGUGUAGCGGUGGAAUGCGCAGAUAUCAGGAGGAACACCAAUAGCGAAGGCAGCUCGCUGGGACGGUACUGACGCUGAGGCGCGAAAGCGUGGGGAGCGAACAGG